rnacentral:rRNA from 1 species
UGGCGAACGGGUGAGUAAUACGUGAGCAAUGUGCCCUUGACUCUGGGAUAAGCGCUGGAAACGGCGUCUAAUACCGGAUACGACGACCGGAGGCAUCUCCUGGUCGUGGAAAGAAUUUCGGUCAAGGAUCAGCUCACGGCCUAUCAGUUAGUUGGUGAGGUAAUGGCUCACCAAGACGACGACGGGUAGCCGGCCUGAGAGGGUGACCGGCCACACUGGGACUGAGACACGGCCCAGACUCCUACGGGAGGCAGCAGUGGGGAAUAUUGCACAAUGGGCGCAAGCCUGAUGCAGCAACGCCGCGUGAGGGACGAAGGCCUUCGGGUUGUAAACCUCUUUUAGCAGGGAAGAAGCGAAAGUGACGGUACCUGCAGAAAAGGCACCGGCGAACUACGUGCCAGCAGCCGCGGUAAUACGUAGGGUGCAAGCGUUGUCCGGAAUUAUUGGGCGUAAAGAGCUCGUAGGCGGUUUGUCACGUCUGCUGUGAAAACCCGAGGCUCAACCUCGGGCUUGCAGUGGGUAC